ACCAGACUCCUACGGGAGGCAGCAGUAGGGAAUAUUGCUCAAUGGGGGAAACCCUGAAGCAGCAACGCCGCGUGAAGGAAGAAGGCUUUCGGGUUGUAAACUUCUUUUGACAGGGAAGAGCAGAAGACGGUACCUGUCGAAUAAGCCACGGCUAACUACGUGCCAGCAGCCGCGGUAAUACGUAGGGAGCAAGCGUUGUCCGGAAUUACUGGGCGUAAAGGGCGCGUAGGUGGGCGCUUAAGUCAGGUGUGAAAACUCCGGGCUCAACCUGGAGACUGCACUUGAAACUGGGUGUCUUGAGGGCAGGAGAGGAAAGUGGAAUCCCUAGUGUAGCGGUGAAAUGCGUAGAUAUUAGGAGGAACACCAGUGGCGAAGGCGACUUUCUGGACUGUACCUGACGCUGAGGCGCGAAAGCGUGGGUAGCGAACGGGAUUAGAUACCCGAGUAAA
rnacentral:rRNA from 1 species